CAGCGGCAAACGAUAAAACAGAAGAAAAAAACCGCAUGCUCUCCCCACGUCUCCCGCACUCCACCUCGCAUCCGCCCGCACUCCCCGGAUCCCCCGCCGCCGAGCCCCCUCCUUCGAUCCCACGCCUCAUCCGCGCCUUCCCUGGAGCCGGCCGCUGCCGCGCCCCCUCCCCGAAGGCCCCAGCCGCCGCGCCACCUCCCAGAUCCACCCGCCGCGGAGCGCCCUCCCCUGAACCCCCACGCGCGCCGCCGGAUCCUGCGGCCUCCAGCCACCACCAAGCGUCGGCGCGCGACCCCGCCGCCUACCUCUGUUACGCCGCCGCGUUCUCCCUGCUGCCACCCUCCCUGGAUUUCGCCACCGGCGCUGCCGCCUCCUCCCCCGCGGCCACCGUCCCCCCUCCUUGACGCCGCCAUCCGCCCCAACCAACUCCCCCCAGCCAGAUGCGCCGCCGCCAGAUUCCCGCAUCCCGGACGCCGGAGGCCCGGGAUCCGGCUGCCACCAUGCGGCACCGCCACCACCUGCCUCCCACCUCAGCCUCCCAGGCUCCCUGCGCCUCUACCGGCAUCGCCCCCUUCAGCACCGCGUGCCGGAGUCGUCUCAUGCACCACUCCCUUCCCUCGGCCACCCAGUCGCCCCGCCCUUGCCAUCAGCGGAGGAGGCUGCCUCGAUUUCUCCAGUGAAACACCCCGAGUACUAUAGCUCUCCUAUGCAGCCAUCGCCGGGUUGCUUGAACUGCAGUGCACAGGAGAAUAGAAAUGGUGACGAGGCUCGUGUCAAAUCCUCCCCCCGACCUCUUCCCACGCUUGCUCCUGCUACACCGACCUGCUCCCUCUUCAACCCCUGAACUGUCCAUUUUUUGUGAUGCUAGUUAUUUUAUUUUAGGUACAUGUGAACAAGAUCAGUGAGCUAGUAACAUGAUUGUUUUUGAUUCGGGGCUAAUUACUAAAAAAAUUAGAAGAAUGGAUGUUGCAAAAAACAAAAUUGGCAGAAUAUGUGAUGAAUUAUUGAUGUUCCCUAUGUAUUUAUUAUUCCAAACUUCUGCGCCUACUUAGCAAAAACGCAUAUGCCCAAGCUCUAAUGUUUUACCACUUAAAAGUUGAGGCAAAACAGAGGAAGUUCAGAUAUGGAACUGCAUAGCGUUCAGAUAUAUAAAAACUAUUAAUUUUGCAUUAGAUUUGGUCUCAUCUUGCAUGCAGGCAACAUUUCUGUUCACGGUCGUCGGCACCACCAGAUUCCUGGUUGUCCUUGUAGGCCAGUUCCCUGGGGAUUGGGGCUUCUUCGUUCCCUACUUGACCAGAAGCAUUUUGUUGGUAGUAUUAGCCAUCAACAAUAUUUCUCCAGGGUAUUUUUCUUCUGACAUAACAAACGCCUUUAUCGGAGUACUAGUUUUCUUGCCCUGACAGUUUUGUUUCUUUCACAAAUGUGUGGUGCUAAUGUGAAUCUGCUUCAUGUAUUACUAUUGGGCUGGAUGAUUCAGUAAUUUCUACUUCGUCUAUAUGUCAAAGUCAAAGGAUGUUGCACUGGAGUUCUGCUAUAGCUACAUCAGGUUCAACUACGGUUGUAUGACGGCCGCCCUGAAGUUCUACUAUGGUUGGUAGCCAAGUUCUACUACAGCUAUACGUCGGCCGUCGUGAAGUUCUACUACUGCUAUGUGACAAGUUCUACUACUGCUAUACAUCAGUGUACUAAGCAACAAUCUCUCUCUGCUUUUACAGUAAAACAAGGCCACGCUUUUGUUAUGUUUGAAUCAGUAGUUUGGAAAGGCAGUGGCAUUUUUCUCUCUGUCCAUGUGUAGGUGUUGAGGCUAGUGUGUAAGCUAUAAGUGUUAGUUCCGAAUCAUUUUUCUCUCUGUUUGUGUGCCUGGUUAAAUUGCGCUACAAUGGCCACUAGUUUUCUUUAAAAA